GCAAGUCGAGCGAGAAGCCAUCUUCGGGUGGUGGAGAGCGGCGAACGGGUGAGUAACGCGUAGGUAUCUACCUAGUAGUGGGGAAUAACCAUUGGAAACGAUGGCUAAAACCGCAUACGCCCUGAGGGGGAAAACUGAGGUGCUAUUAGAGGAGCCUGCGUUAGAUUAGCUAGUUGGUGAGGUAAUGGCCUACCAAGACGAUGAUGCAUAGCCGACCUGAGAGGGUGAUC
rnacentral:rRNA from 1 species